rnacentral:rRNA from 1 species
GACGAACGCUGGCGGCGUGCUUAACACAUGCAAGUCGAACGGAAAGGCCCUGCUUUUGUGGGGUGCUCGAGUGGCGAACGGGUGAGUAACACGUGAGUAACCUGCCCUUGACUUUGGGAUAACUUCAGGAAACUGGGGCUAAUACCGGAUAGGAGCUCCUGCUGCAUGGUGGGGGUUGGAGAGUUUCGGCGGUUGAGGAUGGACUCGCGGCUUAUCAGCUUGUUGGUGGGGUAGUGGCUUACCAAGGCUUUGACGGGUAGCCGGCCUGAGAGGGUGACCGGCCACAUUGGGACUGAGAUACGGCCCAGACUCCUACGGGAGGCAGCAGUGGGGAAUAUUGCACAAUGGGCGGAAGCCUGAUGCAGCAACGCCGCGUGCGGGAUGACGGCCUUCGGGUUGUAAACCGCUUUCGCCUGUGACGAAGCGUGAGUGACGGUAAUGGGUAAAGAAGCACCGGCUAACUACGUG